GCUGACCCCAAUGCUGGAGAAGUUUAUUACAGAUUAAUGACUCGGUUCAUGUUGAAUCAGAGCAAAUAUACUUUAGACAAUGCCUUAAGCCAACUGAAAUGCCCAUUGUUAUUGCUUUGGGGUGACUUAGAUCCAUGGGUGGGUCCUGCCAAGGCUAAUCGAAUCAAAGAGUUUUAUCCAAGGACAACUCUUGUGAACUUACAGGCUGGUCACUGCCCACAUGAUGAAGUUCCCG
rnacentral:misc_RNA from 1 species